rnacentral:rRNA from 1 species
CCUACGGGAGACAGCAGUGAGGAAUAUUGGUCAAUGGACGAGAGUCUGAACCAGCCAAGUAGCGUGAAGGAUGACUGCCCUAUGGGUUGUAAACUUCUUUUAUAUGGGAAUAAAAUGUUCCACGUGUGGGAUUUUGUAUGUACCCUAUGAAUAAGGAUCGGCUAACUCCGUGCCAGCAGCCGCGGUAAUACGGAGGAUCCGAGCGUUAUCCGGAUUUAUUGGGUUUAAAGGGAGCGUAGGUGGAUUGGUAAGUCAGUUGUGAAAGUUUGCGGCUCAACCGUAAAAUUGCAGUUGAAACUGGCAGUCUUGAGUACAGUAGAGGUGGGCGGAAUGCGUGGUGUAGCGGUGAAAUGCUUAGAUAUCACGAAGAACUCCGAUUGCGAAGGCAGUUCACUGGACUGCAACUGACACUGAGGCUCGAAAGUGUGGGUAUCAAACAGGAUUAGAUACCCCUGUAGUC